AACGAACGCUGGCGGCAUGCCUAACACAUGCAAGUCGAACGAGACCUUCGGGUCUAGUGGCGCACGGGUGCGUAACGCGUGGGAACCUGCCCUUAGGUUCGGAAUAACUCCCCGAAAGGGGUGCUAAUACCGGAUAAUGUCUUCGGACCAAAGAUUUAUCGCCUUUGGAUGGGCCCGCGUUGGAUUAGCUAGUUGGUAGGGUAAAAGCCUACCAAGGCGACGAUCCAUAGCUGGUCUGAGAGGAUGAUCAGCCACACUGGGACUGAGACACGGCCCAGACUCCAACGGAAGGCAGCAGUGGGGAAUAUGGAACAAUGGGCGAAGGCUUAAUCCAGCAAGGCCGGUUAAUUAAGAAGGGCUUAAGGUUGGUAAGGCUCUUUUACCCGGGAGGUUAAGAACGGAACCGGAGAAAAAGGCUCGGCUAACUCCGUG
rnacentral:rRNA from 1 species